ensembl:lncRNA
GUGUAGUGUGGCUGCUAGGUUGUAGUAGCGCUGGGUUUUGCCAUCCACCAUACUACUUGCCAGCCAUGAGUAACUGCUGCUGUAUUACAGAGUGGGACUUCGCUGUGCAGUGACAGUGGUACAGGCUUUAGCAUCCAUCACGUAUAUCCUGGCUGAUCCUCACAAGGAAGGUGUCUGCUCUGUCUUACAAGACUCCGUAUGGAGUACUGCAUCCAUCAGGCCCUCAGCACAAGAAAGAUGGAGCUGUUGGAGCAGGUCCUGAGGAGGCCACGAAGAUGCUCAGACCUCUCCCUCCUAUGAAGAAAGGUUGAAGGAAUUGGACUUGUCUGGAGAUGAGAAUGCUCCAGGGACACCUCAUUGCAGCCUUCCAGUACUCAGAGGGAGCUUAUAAACAGGAGGGAGAGCAACUUCUUAGAUGAUCUAAUAGUGAUAGGUCAAGGGGGAAUGGCUUUAAAGUAAAAUAGGAGAAAAUUAGAUGAUAGGAAGAAAUUCUUUACUCAGAGGGUGGUGAGGCAUUGGCACAGGCUGCCCAGAGAAGCUGUGGAUGCCUCAUCCCUG